rnacentral:snoRNA from 1 species
UAUUCAUUUUCCUUGAAGAAGAAUGUUAAGAAUCAAAUAGACUCAUUUGCUGUGGACAUGACCAUAAAAAUUCUCCCACUAGGUUUUCUGUAUGCUUUGUUAGCAGUCACUGGGGAGACUA